UCCAAGGCCCAGCCUUCUUCACCAGCUGAAGUUUUAAUGGUCUUGCUUAGUACAGAAGCAACCAAUAUGAGCAUCAGCUGUGGGGUAAAUUUGUGGUCCCUGAAAUAGCCUGCUUCUACCUCCUGAGAGUACUUGUGUUGUGCUGCCCAAGUAACCUUCAGCUGCUGCACAGGAUCUCAGAGCUUGGAUUCUGUCCUUGGAGUGUUAAAGCUCGUCUUCUGUUUCAGCAGUACAAUGAGUAUGGAAUGUGAUAUUUGUCUUCAAAGCAUCAAAAAAUAUCCCGUUAUUC